GUUGUGAUGAUGUGUCUCCUCAACAUAAAUUGGCUGUGGACCAUACAGUCCACAUGGAGAAAGAGCAACUCAUCAUCAGCUAUAGAAGAGCAAAGAUGCCAUUUAUAAAUUACUACUUCCA